rnacentral:rRNA from 1 species
AGAACGAACGCUGGCGGCAUGCCUAAUACAUGCAAGUCGAACGAACUCUUCGGAGUUAGUGGCGCACGGGUGCGUAACGCGUGGGAAUCUGCCCUUGGGUUCGGAAUAACAGUUGGAAACGACUGCUAAUACCGGAUGAUGACGAAAGUCCAAAGA